CAGCCGCCACGGUAAUACGAGGGGUGCAAGCGUUAUUCGGAUUGAUUGGGCGUAAAGGGCUCGCAGGCGGUUUCUUAAGUCUGAUGUGAAAGCCCCCGGCUCAACCGGGGAGGGUCAUUGGAAACUGGGAAACUUGAGUGCAGAAGAGGAGAGUGGAAUUCCACGUGUAACGGUGAAAUGCGUAGAGAUGUGGAGGAACACCAGUGGCGAAGGCGACUCUCUGGUCUGUAACUGACGCUGAGGAGCGAAAGCGUGGGGAGCGAACAGGAUUAGAUACCCCGGUAGUCCCUGUCUCUUAUAC
rnacentral:rRNA from 1 species